AUGGGGUGCUGGGGGUGGGUGGGGAGGUUCUGCGCUCCUCUCCCUGCCCCCCACGGCCCUGCAAGAGCCACCCGAAGGCUCUGGACACUCAUCUUCCUGCUCUUGCCAGUGCUGGCACCCCAGUCUCCUCACUGCCUUCCCAGCUCCACUCUUCCCACCUCCGCACCCCCCCCCCCAAGAGGCACCCCUGUAACACACAGAUCCGACCACGGCUCUCCUUUGCUUAGAACCCUCACGGCUUCCAGUCCUCAAGGCAUGCCGAUCUCAGUUUCCACACCAACAUGGCCUAGCCAUCAGUACCCAUCCCCUCCUGGCACCCAGAGCACACCUCGAACCCUCCAGCCUCCAGGCCUUUGCAGAUGCCGGCAGCAGAGCCGCUUCCAUCUACCCACUGCCUCGGUGCUCUCACCCAGCACACGGCUUUCAAUGACAUCUGUACUGGUGGCAGACAAGUGGAGUCCUCUCCCAGACUCCAGGCCCAAGUGCCCAACUGCAUACUUGAUAUCUCCUCCUGGUUGUGGAGUAGGCCUCACAACUGUGUGUCCAAAACCUAAUCAUACACACGCACACGCACAGGCUUCUCCUGCCAUCCUCUCAACGUUUGCACUUGCUCAGGCCAAAAGCCCUGGAGUCCUCCUGGAACCCUCUCCUUCUCUCCCACCCCACAACGACCCAUUAGCAAAUGGGGUCAGCUCUAUCUUCCAGACACAGGCAGACUCCCGGUCAGCACCUCCACACUGCUGCCCAAGCACACCCGGCCCAUCCCUGGCCUCUGACAGGCCCCCUGGGUGCUGCCGCUGCCCACUGCAGUCUGCUCACAACACAGUGCCCAGCCAGAGGAUCCCUCUAAACCUGCUCAGUCCUAUCUCUCCUCCAUUCCAGACCUGCAGUGGCUUCCGUUUCAGAGUCAAGCCAAAGUCUUCUGGAAGCCCACAACUACAGUGGUCAAAUUCAGCAAAUAAAAAUACAGGACACCCACUUAAAUUUGAAUUUCAGAGAAAGGCAAAUUUGCAUGAGACAUACUCAUACUAA
rnacentral:lncRNA from 1 species